ensembl:lncRNA
CUCUGUGCUCUAAAUGCAGCAGGGCACAGGUUCAGUCCCUGGUUAGGGAAUUAAGGUCCUGCAUGCUGCACCAUGAGGCCAAAAAUAAAAUAAAUAGAGUUUGUCAGAAUGGAUUAAAGAAAAGCAAAAAUCUAGCUACAUGUUGUAUACAAGAGACACAGCAAAGUAAAAUUAAGUUAAAAAAUAAAUAAAAGCUUUUAAAUCUGAUGGAAAUGUUAGACCAAAGGUGAAAACAGAGUUUAAAUACACUGCUGUAAGAUUUUCAAUGAAUGGUACAAUCACAAAUCAAGAGAUGAUAGUUUCAUGUUCAUAUUGCAAAAUAUUAUUGGUUUUAUAUAAAAAGUAAGCACCCAUACAUACAGUUUAUAUAUCAGUAUGACAGCUGCUAUCUCUAAAUACAAAGAAUAUUCAAGAAUUGGUCACAAAAGCACUUUGCUUUAUAAUGCUAUAUUACUUUUAAUGACGUUAAUAGUUUUUUCUUCCUUCUAAAUUAAUAAACUCCUUAUCUUCUAUGUCUUUUGUAAAUACAGGGCGGAACUGAAGGUGUUGGGAAUUUGCAAAGGUGGGUUAGUGUUUGUGGCAAUACAUACUUUUCUCAAUAUUUUUCAGGCCAUCAUAUGUUAUUUUCUUGAUAUUCUCUUAGAUUAUUUGAACCGCUAGUUCUUUCUGUAGAGUAAUGAAAUUAAACCCAAGGAUAUCCACAUAAUUCUCAGAGUACGUGAUGAUGUUCAUUAAUAAACAGAGAAAUGCAAAUGAGAAAAGUACUUUUAAGAAUCUAUCAUCUUACAGAUAAUUUAAGUACAGAGAAGUUAAGCAAAAUUGUCCAGUACUGUAUAGAGCUGAACCAGGAGAAUUUGAUUUCAGGAAUGUUGAUUCUGAUUGAUCCCCUUGUUCUUAUGUGCUGCUACUUCAUCAGUAAAGAGUUUAUAGACAAACUCUAUAAGCGCCAGGGCGGCUAUUAAUAGACACAGGGAGACCAUUUGGCAGGCUAUUGCCACAUUCUAAGCGAGAGCUGGUGGUGGCUUGCACCAGGCUAAUUAGCGAGCUUGCAGGAUGGUUAUAAUGCAGACAGACUUUAAAGGUAGAACAAAUAGGAUUGUCUGAUAGUUAGAAUGUGGAGUGUCAGAAGAAGAAAGAUGCCAAGAAUAACUUAAGUUUUUUUGGCCCAAGAAGUGAGAAAAGUGCAAUUGUCAUCACCAUUGUUGAGAAUGGCUGAGUGAAAAAAAAAAAUGUUAGAGGAAAAUUCGGAGUUGAGUUUACUUUGCUCUUGUCACAAAGGUGGCUUGUAGCAAAGCAUUCCAAAAGCUGAAUGGAUUUAAAGAACAGUCAUAUAUUCUUCCUCACUUGACUGUUGGCUGGCGUCAUCUGGCAGGAACUGAGCUUGCCUGGGUGUGGCUCCAGCCUAUGGGUUAGGACACAGUUGUUCCACUGCCUUGUUGGACUAGCAGGAUGGUUGAAGCAUAUUCUUAGAGGGCAGAAGAGUUGAUUUUUCUUAAAGCCUAGGCCUAGAACUUGCACAUUGCUGCUUCCCACCGUGUUCCAUUAACCAAAGCAAGUCACCCUGUGAAGCUCAAAAUGAAGGGACUGUUGGUAGAACGCCACGUUCAAGGAUGUGAGUCUGAAGUUCAUGGAAGCAGACCGGGCUUCACAGAGAAAGCAAGGCAUUAUUAGUGUACAAAUAAUAUCUAAUGCUAAGCGAUUGGAUGAGAUUAGCAAAAAAGUGAGCGUGAUAGAGAAGAGGUUCAAGGUCUAAAUGUCUUGGGACUGAAAAUUUAUGUGGUCUAGGUGAGGAGGAAGAACUCAAAACUGAGACUAAAGACUUGCUGCAAAAGAGGUCAGAUGAAAUCCCAGAGAGUGUUAUGUGCUGGAAGCCAAGUGAAGAAAGUGUAGAAAAUGUGAUGGACUUAGUCAAAUAUUGCAGAUAAGACAAGUAACACAGGGGUUGUAGGUGACAUUAAUGAGAAUAAUGAGACAAAACUCUGAUUGGACUGAAUUUAAUGGAAAUAGGAAAAUAGAUGAAUAGAAACAUUUUUAACUAAUUUUACUAUAGACAUGGGAAAGAAAGUUGGGGGGAUUCGAAAAAGGGUAAACUGGGGCUAAGAGAUAUUUUGUGGAAGUGUGUCAAAGUAUUAGCCUCUCAGUAGUAUCUGACUCUUUGUGACCCCAUGGACUGUAGCCUGCCAAGCUCCUCUGUCGAUGGAAUUCUCCAGGCAAGAAUACCGGAGUGGGUAGCCAUUUCCUUCUCCAGGGAAUCUUCCCUACCCAGGGAUCAAACCCAGGUCUCCUGCAUUGCAGGUGGAUUCUUUAGCAUCUGAGCCAAUAAUCUUUUCUGCCAGCUCCAUUUAGAAAAGUCUCUAGAGAGACUUUUAAAUUGGCCAGUUUGGAUCACAUGUCCAUCCCUGGCCAUUGUGUCCAGGAGGAUAGGGUAUUGAAAUUGGUAAUGUUUGCCAGCACCAUAUUUCUUGAAAG